GAGACAUUAGUAAAAUAUGAAUAUUACAUCACCUUGUCGAGGUGAAAUUGCUGGUUAAAUCCCAG
rnacentral:tRNA from 3 species